UGUCCCUGUAGCGCAGUGGAUAGCGCGCUGGACUUCUAAUCCAGAGGCUGCGGGUUCAUAAACGUCACAGGUCAA